rnacentral:rRNA from 1 species
UACGUAGGGUGCAAGCGUUGUUCGGAAUUACUGGGCGUAAAGGGUUCGUAGGUGGCUGGCUAAGCCAGACGUGAAAUCCCCCAGCUUAACUGGGGAACUGCGUCUGGGACUGGUCGGCUUGAGUGCAGGAGAGGAACGCGGAAUUCCAGGUGUAGCGGUGAAAUGCGUAGAUAUCUGGAGGAACACCGGUGGCGAAGGCGGCGUUCUGGACUGCAACUGACACUGAGGAACGAAAGCCAGGGGAGCAAACGGG